rnacentral:rRNA from 1 species
UACGGAGGGUCCAAGCGUUAUCCGGAAUUAUUGGGUUUAAAGGGUCCGUAGGCGGGCCUAUAAGUCAGUGGUGAAAUCCUGCAGCUCAACUGUAGAACUGCCAUUGAUACUGUAGGUCUUGAGUAUGAUUGAAGUGGGCGGAAUAAGACAUGUAGCGGUGAAAUGCUUAGAUAUGUCUUAGAACACCGAUUGCGAAGGCAGCUCACUAAGCCAUAACUGACGCUGAUGGACGAAAGCGUGGGGAGCGAACAGGAUUAGAUACCCCGGUAGUCC